rnacentral:pre_miRNA from 1 species
CAAGUACUCCCUCCGUCCGAAAAUACUUGUCAUCAAAAUGGAUAAAAAGAUGUAUCUAGAACUAAUAUACAUCUAGAUACAUCCCCUUUUAUUCAUUAUGAUGACAAGUAUUUCUGGACGGAGGGAGUACUAC